GAUGAACGCUGGCGGCGUGCCUAACACAUGCAAGUCGAGCGAACGGACGAGAAGCUUGCUUCUCUGAUGUUAGCGGCGGACGGGUGAGUAACACGUGGAUAACCUACCUAUAAGACUGGGAUAACUUCGGGAAACCGGAGCUAAUACCGGAUAAUAUUUUGAACCGCAUGGUUCAAAAGUGAAAGACGGUCUUGCUGUCACUUAUAGAUGGAUCCGCGCUGCAUUAGCUAGUUGGUAAGGUAACGGCUUACCAAGGCAACGAUGCAUAGCCGACCUGAGAGGGUGAUCGGCCACACUGGAACUGAGACACGGUCCAGACUCCUACGGGAGGCAGCAGUAGGGAAUCUUGCGCAAUGGGCGAAAGCCUGACGGAGCAACGCCGCGUGAGUGAUGAAGGUCUUCGGAUCGUAAAACUCUGUUAUUAGGGAAGAACAUAUGUGUAAGUAACUGUGCACAUCUUGACGGUACCUAAUCAAAAAGCCACGGCUAACUACGUG
rnacentral:rRNA from 1 species